AAAUGGCACCGGCUCUGAGGGGAAAUGGAAAGGACGAUUUCUCGGGCCCCACAUCGCGCUUUCGAGUUUAUUUUGACUAUGUAGAUUGACUGGUGCCCAUAUAUACACCAUUGACUGGUGUAUCAGCCAGAUCUCCAGCUUUGACUUCCCUUAGCAGCGCUCUAGAACUGCACUUCAUUUCUAACUGUGUGAUUAUGCUGUGUCUUUCAAGAAGUCCAAACUGACCAGGCAAUGACUCAAAGAUCUGAAGGUGGCAGCAACCACUCAGGAAUUCUGCAGAUGCUGGAAAUUCAAGCAACAUACAUCAAAGUUGCUGGUGAACGUAGCAGGCCAAGCAGCAUCUAUAGGAAGAGGCGGAGUCGACGUUUCAGGCCGAGACCCUUCGUCAGAACUAACUGAAGGAAGAGUGAUCCAAGACCACGUGGACAGCCAUUGAGAUUGCGUCAAUAGACCUAUUGUGGCAAUAGGAAAACUACAAUGGAUUCAUUUCUUGCCAAAUCUCCAACUACUUAUCUCUGUCUCAGCCCAGCAAACCCCGAAGCUCAGGCCCCAACCCCAAUCUCCUAAACACAUAAAUCUAAGAUUCAUCAAGGCCUCAACUUCUGACUUUUUGACACCACCAUCCAACUACUGAUUGGAGCAUUCCCUUUUCAGCUCUCCUUGACCAUUACAGCAAAUAUCCUUGCUGCCUUUCUCCCAACCACAGGAGCACAGGACACCAAUGCAACCUCCAUUCCUCCACCGUCCACACCCAUCCUAACAUGGAGGGUAUUUCUAAGUGAAUUUAUCGCAAUAAUAUUACUUGUGAACUGAAACUGCACUUAGCUGCUGUAUUUGGAUAAUGAUGUUUACUGUGUUCUGGCAUCUCUCAGUGCCUUGCAUCAGUGAUAUCAGUCCAUGAAGGGUCUUGACCUAAAAUGUCAACUGUUCGUUUCCUCUACAAAUGCUGCCUGACAUCUUUCAUAGCUUUCAGCAUCUCAGGUUUUGCUCCAGAUUCCAGCAUCUGCAAUCUCUUUUGUCCCCACCUUACAUCAGUGAUAGCUAAGCCCUGUUGCUACAAAGAGGGAUGCCUGUACACCCAUUUUCUCUUUUAGAUCUGUUAUGUAAUCACUUAAAAUUCUCUUUAAAAGGGAAUCUAGAAUAAGUUUGAAGAUUUAAGAUGCUUUGUAAUCUACAGAAAAUGGAGAGAGAAAUUAUGUUUUAAAAGUAUUGUGUACAGCUCAGCAACAACUACCACAUGUUCAAUAUGGAAAAAUUUGCUUUGACAUAUUUAAUUACACAAAUUGUUAGAUAUAAACUGUCAUUACUUCAAUUGAUAUGAAAUUCUUAUGGAAGCGAUGGAAAGUUCAUUGGUGUAUUAAAGAAGAUGAAUUGAAAGGCUGUAUAAAGUGUAAUUUAUUUGGGAAAAUGUUAAACGGUUACACCUGAAAACCAGUAUGCUACAUAUUUCACAGUGAUUUACCUGCUAGAGUUUUCUUUGCAUUUACUCAAAUUACGAAAUGGCGACUAAACAUGGAGACUCAACAAGAAUGAUUUCAAUAAAAAAACUUGUGCCUAAUUGCUACCUCAUUUCAUGAUUUGAUGCGAGCUGAUUUUCCAAAUGUCACCCAACACAAUCUGAAAUACCAAUCAUUGUAUGAAAGAGCAAUUUUAAAAACAAAAAUUGAUGCAGUGCAGGCCAGGAAUAAAGAUUUUCUUUUGAAGCUGCCCAGACAACAUGUACAAGUCAAUUGACUGUGAGACAGAUAUUGAUGAGGCUGUACAUUUCCUGUUGAAUUUUUUAAACUUUCUGUCACCAAGAUUGUGUUUCCUUACAUAAUCUUGAAUUAAAAGUAGUACAGGUACAAGUUCAAGCUUAUUGUCAUUCAACUGUACAAUAUACACUGUCAAACAAGAAAAUGCUCCUCUGGACCAAGGUGCACAACACAGUACAUAUAACUCACACAAAUAACACAUAAGGUAAUAUUACCAGAAAUAAAUUAAUGAAUAAUAUGCCUACAUAAUAGAAGUUAAAAAGUAAACUGUACAACGCUACUGGUGCUUCAUAUGGGAUGAGACCUGGGUGGUGGCGGGGAGUUCAGUAGUCUUAUGGCCUGGGGAAAGAAGCUGUUUCCCAUCCUAACCGUUCUUGCCCUAAUUUUACAGUAGCUCCUGCCCGAUAAUGGGGAGUCAAAGAGAUUGCAGGAUGAGUGGGAGGGAUUACUUAUAAUGCUAAGGGCCCUGCAUAAGCAAUGCUCCUGAUAAAUAUCUUUGAUGGGUGGAAGAGAGACCCUGAUGAUACUCUCAGCAGUCCUUGCAAUCCUUUGUAGGGACCUGCAGUCAGAUGUCUUGCAAUUCCCAUACCAGACGGUGAUGCAGCCACUCAGGACACUCUCAAAGGUGCUCUUGUUGAACUGAUAAUUUUGUACCUUUAUUUCUGGAUACAAAUUCCUGGAUAGCAUCAUUGGAGUUAUGCGAUCAUCUGUAACUCCAAUUAUGCUAUCCCAGAAUAUGUAUCCACAAGUAUUAUGCAAAGGAACAAAAUUAUCAGUUCAAAAAUUACUGCAACGUGUAGCUGAGGCUACAAUUAUGAUUGGUGGAAAAUGUCUUCAUUCUUUGGAUACAAUUAUCCCAUCUGAUCUACCAUUUUGAUUCACGUGACUGAAUUUCCCUGUUAAAGUUAGUUUAGCCAUGGACAUUAACAAGGUGUGAGAACAAUCACUAAAUGUUGUUGGCCUUAAACUUGAAACUCAGUGCUUUUCCCAUGGUCAGCUACUGUAUAUGUUGGUUGCUCCAGAGUUGGAGAUAAAAAUAAUCUAUACAUUUAUACAAUGGAUUCAAAAUAAAAAUAGCACAUUUUGAAGCACUUCAACAGUGAAAUCAAGCAAACUUACAUGUUGUGCACAAGUACAUCAACAGAAGUAUACUAAAUGUAAUUUUAUAUACUUAUUUCUUUCAGUAUAAAUGUUUUUAUUGGCAACUUCAGUUAAACAAUAUAAUGUUAAUUCUUGAUUCAUAGAAUAAUUGUAUAUAGUUAGAUUUUAUUUCAUUUACAAGGAGUGUUAUAACACCUGAUUGCAUGGAAAUAAAUGCAAAUAAGGUAAUGGCCAGCAAAAGUUAUGCCAGAUAUAGCAGCAAAAAUGAUUAUAUACAUGACAUUAUCCUCCAGUAAUCCGAGUUAGGCCAAUUCUACAUUGGUUUCUAAUAAUUUCCAAUUGUUUACUUCUGCUUCAGAAUAAUUUCACAUUUACAUGUUUCUUGGCUACGGGCAUUAUGCAAUGAUUUAACCACUGUGGCACCCACCUUCUAAUGUUGUGAAAAUGUGGUAUUGCUUUCAAAUAGACACAAACAAAAUAAAUCAGCACUUUGUCUCAAUAAACUAUUCUAUGGUGUGUUAAAAAGCAAUCUAUUAUAUACUUUAGAUAUUUUAAACAACACCAGUCAUUUUGAAUACAGAAACUGUUAUUCUUCGUUAUUUCUUGCGUCAGACUGCUUGACUGAUUUUUAAAAUCAAAUUGCAUGCUGUCAUAUUGCUCUUCAGGGAAGGCAGUAGGUUGUAUAGUUAUCUUCAGAUGGGGCAAAAUCACUACCCUGAAACUACACAACCUACUACCUCACCCUGGCAGAACAUUGAGAUUGUCACAACUGAAACCAAGUUCAAUGAAAUAGAACAAAGUAAGCUGUAUUUCACACAAUAUACAGAUAUCACAUUUAUUAUAGGAAGAUGGCCACAAAAUUAGUUCCUAUUACUCAGUAGACUUGACAACCAGCCCAUCGGGAUACGAACCCAUUUAACCAACGUAGGAAUUAAAUAUGACAAAGCCUUCCAACUGCCAUCCCUUCCCUCAAACAGUAUAUACUCUGGAGAUGUGCACUGUUUAUUGUAGGCACUUCAAGGUACUUAGAAAGGUACCACCAACACUUUCUCACAAAAUCCUCUAAUCGAGCUGCAAGGAUAAUUGAACGGAUGUAAGUGCCAUUUCCCAAGCCGACAUCCCCAUCAUUGGAACUCUAAUUGUACUCAAUCAAUUCUGUUGAGCAGGCUUCAAAUUUCACAUACCCAUUGCCAAUCUCCUAAAACUAUACCAAGCUUAGACACAAGAGAAGAUUACCAAGUGGAGGGAGGUAAAUAUUUAAGAUGUCCUCAACACUUCCUUGGGAAAAAUACAAGAUCCCAACUGACUCCUGAGAAUACAUGACCUUGACAGCCCUAAGUAGUGAAGAAGCAUUUAGAAUAGCACAGAAUCUUAAGUCCAUACAUCAGGAGCAAAUGGAAGCCCACCAUAAAUGGCAGAAGGAAAGCACCAAUUUACAAAUUACCAAAUCUGCUUCCCAUAAGGCAUUUCCUGACACGUCUAUGGAAGUGUCUGUGGAUCCCACAAUUUUCCCCCAGGGCUGAAAUGUCUAAUGCCAGAGGGCAUGCAUUUAAGGUGAGAUGGGGUAAACUCAAAGGAGACGUGCAAGGCAAGUUUUUAUUUUACACAGUAAGUAAAAGAACUUGCCUUGAAUUCCUGGAAAGUGAUGCCCAGGAUGGUGGUGGGGACAAAUACAAUGCAGGCAUUCAAGAGACUCAUAGUUAGGCACGUGGAUGUGCAGAAAUGAAAGGAUUACUGCAUAGGCAGAUGGGCUUAGUUUAGCUGCAGGUCUGAUUAUUAAUUAUUUCAUUAGAGAAACAGCACAGUAACAGGCCCUUAUUGCCCAAUGAGCCUGUGCCGCCCAAUUACACCCAGGUAACCAUUCAACCUACUAGAGUGUGGGAGGAAACCAGAGCACACAGAGGAAACCCACAAAAUCACAGGGAGAAUGUACAAAAUCCUUACAGAGAGUGGAAGAGUCGAUGACUAAUUUUGCUUGGUGCAACACUGUGGGCUGAAGGAUCUGUUCCUGUGCAGAACUGUUCUAUGUUCUAUCAGCCUCCUCAGAGCUAGUCAUUCUUCAUCGUUAUUAGAAGACAUGUGACAACCCUAACAUUUUGAAAUCCGCUGUCCAAUGUACAAACACAACAAUGUUCUGAGAAAAAUGGAAGUAAUUUCAUUCAUAUGGUGCCAGCUAACAAACAUACUAUUCAGAACGGCCCUUUGGUCCCAAUCUGUCAACACCAUCAGCUAGUUUUGGGAUAUUUGUUCUAUCCAUGGAAGUCACAUCAUUACCAGAGAAAAGGAAACAUUAGCUGAAAUAACUUUUCAAAAUAAAAAUAUCUUUUUAAUAUACAAGAUACUUUUAUAAAAUCACGAGUCCCACAUGCAAGACCCUGUAAAUUCUCUCUUUCCAUCUAUAUAUCUGGCCCUUAACCAACAAUUAGCCUAGGGAUUCUAUGCAUCUUCUUCUAUUUGCCUUCUCUGUUUGUAUGGCAGCUCCCCAUCUCUGUGGGAAGAUCUGAAUCACCCUAACCCUUCAUUUACAGCAAACAAUCUUACCUCUCAUUAAUUCAUAGUCUUAAAAGUGUUCUGUUAUUGGUAGACUGAUUUAAAACUAAGCACAAAAACUUAAUUAGGUUUCCGGGAGAAAGAAGGAAUUGGGUAUGUGAUUUUGGAUGAGCAGCUUUUUACACAGAUUUUCUUGGCUGCACAGAGAGAUACAUUUGUAGAACAUUGUUUAUAUUGAGGCUAUUAGAAAGAAAGAUUUUAAGAUACAAACUAAUCAUAUUAUUCAGCAUUGUUAGGUGUUGGAUCUUAAUGUAAACAUUAAAAUUUCUUAAUUGAGUGUCUCACAACUAUUAGCAAACUCAGGCUUUAAAACCCUAAAUGAAUCAUUGGCUAAAUCAUAAAACAGUGUUAAAUGAAGAUCUUAAUUUGUUAGAAUCAAUAAAAUCAUUCUUCCUUGUCAAAAUAUAUCCAGAUGACCAAAAUAAAGAUUGUCAAAUGAUCCACUGAAGUUUGACAGCCACCUCAGGAAAGACAGUAGAUUGUAUAGUUAUCUGACUGGAAGGGUGUAACCCU